rnacentral:misc_RNA from 1 species
ACAAACUUGGUCAUUUAGAGGAAGUAAAAGUCGUAACAAGGUUUCCGUAGGUGAACCUGCGGAAGGAUCAUUACCGAAAACAAAACGGCCCCGCGAUGCUGUUCGCUCUAAACAAGCGGCGCUCGCGGGGACGGACCCCUGUGAACGCGUUUCCGUCUUUGGUGUCCACACACGGUUUUCUCGAGCCGCGCUGUGGCCCAAUCUUUUUCAUUUACCCCAUCUCUUCUGAAUGCUGACUGAAGUAAAGUCGAGGUCUCCCCUGCGCAUGCGGGCUGGCGGCUUUCGGCGUGGUCACAGCACCUCCUUCGGGCGGGCUUGACGACAAUAACUUGUGACAACUUUUAACAACGGAUAUCUUGGUUCACGAAUCGAUGAAGAACGCAGC